GGCGAACGCUGGCGGCGUGCCUAAUACAUGCAAGUUGAGCGCUGAAGGUUGGUACUUGUCCCGACUGGAUGAGCAGCGAACGGGUGAGUAACGCGUGGGGAAUCUGCCUUUGAGCGGGGGACAACAUUUGGAAACGAAUGCUAAUACCGCAUAAAAACUUUAAACACAAGUUUUAAGUUUGAAAGAUGCAAUUGCAUCACUCAAAGAUGAUCCCGCGUUGUAUUAGCUAGUUGGUGAGGUAAAGGCUCACCAAGGCGAUGAUACAUAGCCGACCUGAGAGGGUGAUCGGCCACAUUGGGACUGAGACACGGCCCAAACUCCUACGGGAGGCAGCAGUAGGGAAUCUUCGGCAAUGGACGAAAGUCUGACCGAGCAACGCCGCGUGAGGGAAGAAGGUUUUCGGAUCGUAAAACUCUGUUGGUAGAGAAGAACGUUGGUGAGAGUGGAAAGCUCAUCAAGUGACGGUAACUACCCAGAAAGGGACGGCUAACUACGUG
rnacentral:rRNA from 1 species